rnacentral:rRNA from 1 species
GGAAACCCACCUGAAAACGAGUAUUCCCUAUCAGAGCCGUGGAAGACGACCACGUUGAUAGGACGGGUGUGGAAGUGCAGUAAUGCAUGAAGCUUACCGUUACUAAUAGCUCGAUUGGCUUGAUCGUUCUCAUU